UGUCCCUUGUUCUCAGAAAAACGAGGUGAAGGCAAGGACUGAUUUUAACUUUGAUCUCAGCUUUGUAUCAGCUGAAGGUUUUGAAGAUGAGCUUAAUUCAAGGGUGGCAUCACCAUGGUUGGAUUCUCAGGAGUUAGGAUAUCUUAAUUAGAUCUACUUAAUGAAGGCUUUUAAAUUCACUGCUUCUCCAUUAAUUUGCAGUGGGGACAAUUUUGUUUUCAUUGGACACCUGCAGGAAAUGUUCUGUGGGUACUGACAUUGCUAAACUGCUCCUGGGAGAGGGGAAAAAUCGGGAUUAUUUUGCUAAGUGGAAAUUCAACAUUUCUCAGCGCCUGAACAGGAAAACGGGAGCAUUUUCAUCGUUUGGAGAUGGAAACAGGCAAAAAUCUGAGGCUUGGAGCGAGGGAUGGGAGGAGGGAAGGCAGGGGCUGUUCCAUCAUUAAAUAUUGAGGCAGAUGUCAAAAGCAAUGGAACUGAUGAGGGCGCUUCUGUUGAUGUUAUUGUUAUGAAAAUCAGGCUGGAGAGGAGAUGCACAACAGGAGGAGAGCUCUGGGGCACCAAGGCACAGCAGCCCGAGGCUGUCCCGUGUCCCAGCAGGUGGAGCCCCUGCCGAGCUGGAAUCUCGGGACCUCCUGCAAAGUGGAGCUUAAAGCUAACCCUAACCCCAAAUAAUAAAAACAUUCGGCAUCAAUACAGCAGACGCUUGGCUUUAACCUGUGUUUGUGCUGUUUCCAUCUGGCUGUUUGUGAAAGCUCCAGAGAAGAGCAAGCAAAGAAGGACACUGAGGAGAUGAAAGGUGCCUCGCUGUGAUGUUUUCCUGGAGCGGUACAUUGCUCUGAAAAUGAACUGUGAAAUGUGGCAGGGAGCGUUUCCAGUCCUGCAGAACACCCCGGGCAGCAAAAACUCUGGGGAGGGUUGGAACAAAAACUCUGGGAAGGGUUUGAAGCAAAAACUCUGGGAAGGGUUGGAACAAAAACUCUGGGAAGGGUUUGAAGCAAAAAGUCUGGGAAGGGUUCAUGGGGCAAGGAGGAAAGGACAGGAAUUAAAGCUCAUUUCUUUGCAGGAGCCGUUCCAGGGUGAGGGGAAUAGUGGAUUUGUCUUUCCAAACAAGCUGUGGGUCUGCUGGUGGAUAAAACCAGCACUGAGAGAGAAAAGAAACAAUGGGAAGGAUUCCACUGAGUGAUGAAUGGAAAAAUGAUAUUUGCUUGUACAAAUAAACUUUAGGUUUGCUGAUAAA